rnacentral:rRNA from 1 species
CACGUAGGCGGAUUUGUCAGUCAGGGGUGAAAUCCCGGGGCUCAACCUCGGAACUGCCUUUGAUACAGCAAGUCUUGAGUUCGAGAGAGGUGGGUGGAAUUCCUAGUGUAGAGGUGAAAUUCGUAGAUAUUAGGAAGAACACCGGUGGCGAAGGCGGCCCACUGGCUCGAUACUGACGCUGAGGUGCGAAAGCGUGGGGAGCAAACA